GAGUUUGAUCCUGGCUCAGGACGAACGCUGGCGGCGCGCCUAACACAUGCAAGUCGAACGAGCGAGAGAGAGCUUGCUUUCUCGAGCGAGUGGCGAACGGGUGAGUAACGCGUGAGGAACCUGCCUCAAAGAGGGGGACAACAGUUGGAAACGACUGCUAAUACCGCAUAAGCCCACAGCUCGGCAUCGAGCAGAGGGAAAAGGAGCAAUCCGCUUUGAGAUGGCCUCGCGUCCGAUUAGCUAGUUGGUGAGGUAAUGGCCCACCAAGGCGACGAUCGGUAGCCGGACUGAGAGGUUGAACGGCCACAUUGGGACUGAGACACGGCCCAGACUCCUACGGGAGGCAGCAGUGGGGAAUAUUGCACAAUGGGGGAAACCCUGAUGCAGCGACGCCGCGUGGAGGAAGAAGGUCUUCGGAUUGUAAACUCCUGUUGUUGAGGAAGAUAAUGACGGUACUCAACAAGGAAGUGACGGCUAACUACGUGCCAGCAGCCGCGGUAAAACGUAGGUCACAAGCGUUGUCCGGAAUUACUGGGUGUAAAGGGAGCGCAGGCGGGAAGACAAGUUGGAAGUGAAAUCUAUGGGCUCAACCCAUAAACUGCUUUCAAAACUGUUUUUCUUGAGUAGUGCAGAGGUAGGCGGAAUUCCCGGUGUAGCGGUGGAAUGCGUAGAUAUCGGGAGGAACACCAGUGGCGAAGGCGGCUACUGGGCACCAACUGACGCUGAGGCUCGAAAGUGUGGGUAGCAAACAGGAUUAGAUACCCUGGUAGUCCACACCGUAAACGAUGAUUACUAGGUGUUGGAGGAUUGACCCCUUCAGUGCCGCAGUUAACACAAUAAGUAAUCCACCUGGGGAGUACGACCGCAAGGUUGAAACUCAAAGGAAUUGACGGGGGCCCGCACAAGCAGUGGAGUAUGUGGUUUAAUUCGACGCAACGCGAAGAACCUUACCAAGUCUUGACAUCCCUUGACGAACAUAGAAAUAUGUUUUCUCUUCGGAGCAAGGAGACAGGUGGUGCAUGGUUGUCGUCAGCUCGUGUCGUGAGAUGUUGGGUUAAGUCCCGCAACGAGCGCAACCCCUACUGUCAGUUACUACGCAAGAGGACUCUGGCAGGACUGCCGUUGACAAAACGGAGGAAGGUGGGGAUGACGUCAAAUCAUCAUGCCCUUUAUGACUUGGGCUACACACGUACUACAAUGGCGUUAAACAAAGAGAAGCAAGACCGCGAGGUGGAGCAAAACUCAGAAACAACGUCCCAGUUCGGACUGCAGGCUGCAACUCGCCUGCACGAAGUCGGAAUUGCUAGUAAUCGUGGAUCAGCAUGCCACGGUGAAUACGUUCCCGGGCCUUGUACACACCGCCCGUC
rnacentral:rRNA from 1 species